UAUCGCCCAGUUUGAAAAACUCGCCAACACUUAGGCAAAAAGUCGAAAAAGGGGUCAAAACUCGCAUCGGUAGUCCGAAUGACACGUAAACACACUAAUAGCAUCGCGUAGGUAAUAGACACGCGUUAGAACUUACGGGACUCGAUUCUGACAUACGGAGACCGAGUUAUCGCGGAGUUUGCAAAACUUGCCAACACUUAAGCAAAAAGUCGAAAAAGAGGUCAAAACCAGCAUCGGCCGUCCAAAUGACACACAAACACACACAUAGCACCGCGUAGGUAAUAGACACGCGUUAGAACUUACGGGACUCGAUUCCGACAUACGAAGACUGAGUUAUCGCCCAGUUUGCAAAACUCGCCAACACUUAGGCAAAAACACGAAAAACAGGUCAAAACCGGCAUCGGUCGUCUGAAUGACACUUAAACACACACAUAACACCGUGUAGGUAAUAGUCAUGUAUUAGAACUUACGGGACUCGAUUCCGACAUACGGAGACUGAGUUAUCGCCCAGUUUGCAAAACUCACCAACAAUUAGGCAAAAAGACGAAAAACAGGUCAAAACCCGCAUCGGCCGUCCGAAUGACACGCAAACACACACAUAGCAUCGCGUAGGUAAUUGACACGCGUAAGAACUUACGGGACUCGAUUCCGACAUACGGAGACUGAGUUAUCGCCCAGUUUGCAAAACUCACCAACAAUUAGGCAAAAAGACGAAAAACAGGUCAAAACCCGCAUCGGCCGUCCGAAUGACACGCAAACACACACAUAGCAUCGCGUAGGUAAUUGACACGCGUAAGAACUUACGGGACUCGAUUCCGACAUACGGAGACUGAGUUAUCGCCCAGUUUGCAAAACUCACCAACAAUUAGGCAAAAAGACGAAAAACAGGUCAAAACCCGCAUCGGCCGUCCGAAUGACACGCAAACACACACAUAGCAUCGCGUAGGUAAUUGACACGCGUAAGAACUUACGGGACUCGAUUCCGACAUACGGAGACUGAGUUAUCGCCCAGUUUGCAAAACUCACCAACAAUUAGGCAAAAAGACGAAAAACAGGUCAAAACCCGCAUCGGCCGUCCGAAUGACACGCAAACACACACAUAGCAUCGCGUAGGUAAUUGACACGCGUAAGAACUUACGGGACUCGAUUCCGACAUACGGAGACUGAGUUAUCGCCCAGUUUGCAAAACUCACCAACAAUUAGGCAAAAAGACGAAAAACAGGUCAAAACCCGCAUCGGCCGUCCGAAUGACACGCAAACACACACAUAGCAUCGCGUAGGUAAUUGACACGCGUAAGAACUUACGGGACUCGAUUCCGACAUACGGAGACUGAGUUAUCGCCCAGUUUGCAAAACUCACCAACAAUUAGGCAAAAAGACGAAAAACAGGUCAAAACCCGCAUCGGCCGUCCGAAUGACACGCAAACACACACAUAGCAUCGCGUAGGUAAUUGACACGCGUAAGAACUUACGGGACUCGAUUCCGACAUACGGAGACUGAGUUAUCGCCCAGUUUGCAAAACUCACCAACAAUUAGGCAAAAAGACGAAAAACAGGUCAAAACCCGCAUCGGCCGUCCGAAUGACACGCAAACACACACAUAGCAUCGCGUAGGUAAUUGACACGCGUAAGAACUUACGGGACUCGAUUCCGACAUACGGAGACUGAGUUAUCGCCCAGUUUGCAAAACUCACCAACAAUUAGGCAAAAAGACGAAAAACAGGUCAAAACCCGCAUCGGCCGUCCGAAUGACACGCAAACACACACAUAGCAUCGCGUAGGUAAUUGACACGCGUAAGAACUUACGGGACUCGAUUCCGACAUACGGAGACUGAGUUAUCGCCCAGUUUGCAAAACUCACCAACAAUUAGGCAAAAAGACGAAAAACAGGUCAAAACCCGCAUCGGCCGUCCGAAUGACACGCAAACACACACAUAGCAUCGCGUAGGUAAUUGACACGCGUAAGAACUUACGGGACUCGAUUCCGACAUACGGAGACUGAGUUAUCGCCCAGUUUGCAAAACUCACCAACAAUUAGGCAAAAAGACGAAAAACAGGUCAAAACCCGCAUCGGCCGUCCGAAUGACACGCAAACACACACAUAGCAUCGCGUAGGUAAUUGACACGCGUAAGAACUUACGGGACUCGAUUCCGACAUACGGAGACUGAGUUAUCGCCCAGUUUGCAAAACUCACCAACAAUUAGGCAAAAAGACGAAAAACAGGUCAAAACCCGCAUCGGCCGUCCGAAUGACACGCAAACACACACAUAGCAUCGCGUAGGUAAUUGACACGCGUAAGAACUUACGGGACUCGAUUCCGACAUACGGAGACUGAGUUAUCGCCCAGUUUGCAAAACUCACCAACAAUUAGGCAAAAAGACGAAAAACAGGUCAAAACCCGCAUCGGCCGUCCGAAUGACACGCAAACACACACAUAGCAUCGCGUAGGUAAUUGACACGCGUAAGAACUUACGGGACUCGAUUCCGACAUACGGAGACUGAGUUAUCGCCCAGUUUGCAAAACUCACCAACAAUUAGGCAAAAAGACGAAAAACAGGUCAAAACCCGCAUCGGCCGUCCGAAUGACACGCAAACACACACAUAGCAUCGCGUAGGUAAUUGACACGCGUAAGAACUUACGGGACUCGAUUCCGACAUACGGAGACUGAGUUAUCGCCCAGUUUGCAAAACUCACCAACAAUUAGGCAAAAAGACGAAAAACAGGUCAAAACCCGCAUCGGCCGUCCGAAUGACACGCAAACACACACAUAGCAUCGCGUAGGUAAUUGACACGCGUAAGAACUUACGGGACUCGAUUCCGACAUACGGAGACUGAGUUAUCGCCCAGUUUGCAAAACUCACCAACAAUUAGGCAAAAAGACGAAAAACAGGUCAAAACCCGCAUCGGCCGUCCGAAUGACACGCAAACACACACAUAGCAUCGCGUAGGUAAUUGACACGCGUAAGAACUUACGGGACUCGAUUCCGACAUACGGAGACUGAGUUAUCGCCCAGUUUGCAAAACUCACCAACAAUUAGGCAAAAAGACGAAAAACAGGUCAAAACCCGCAUCGGCCGUCCGAAUGACACGCAAACACACACAUAGCAUCGCGUAGGUAAUUGACACGCGUAAGAACUUACGGGACUCGAUUCCGACAUACGGAGACUGAGUUAUCGCCCAGUUUGCAAAACUCACCAACAAUUAGGCAAAAAGACGAAAAACAGGUCAAAACCCGCAUCGGCCGUCCGAAUGACACGCAAACACACACAUAGCAUCGCGUAGGUAAUUGACACGCGUAAGAACUUACGGGACUCGAUUCCGACAUACGGAGACUGAGUUAUCGCCCAGUUUGCAAAACUCACCAACAAUUAGGCAAAAAGACGAAAAACAGGUCAAAACCCGCAUCGGCCGUCCGAAUGACACGCAAACACACACAUAGCAUCGCGUAGGUAAUUGACACGCGUAAGAACUUACGGGACUCGAUUCCGACAUACGGAGACUGAGUUAUCGCCCAGUUUGCAAAACUCACCAACAAUUAGGCAAAAAGACGAAAAACAGGUCAAAACCCGCAUCGGCCGUCCGAAUGACACGCAAACACACACAUAGCAUCGCGUAGGUAAUUGACACGCGUAAGAACUUACGGGACUCGAUUCCGACAUACGGAGACUGAGUUAUCGCCCAGUUUGCAAAACUCACCAACAAUUAGGCAAAAAGACGAAAAACAGGUCAAAACCCGCAUCGGCCGUCCGAAUGACACGCAAACACACACAUAGCAUCGCGUAGGUAAUUGACACGCGUAAGAACUUACGGGACUCGAUUCCGACAUACGGAGACUGAGUUAUCGCCCAGUUUGCAAAACUCACCAACAAUUAGGCAAAAAGACGAAAAACAGGUCAAAACCCGCAUCGGCCGUCCGAAUGACACGCAAACACACACAUAGCAUCGCGUAGGUAAUUGACACGCGUAAGAACUUACGGGACUCGAUUCCGACAUACGGAGACUGAGUUAUCGCCCAGUUUGCAAAACUCACCAACAAUUAGGCAAAAAGACGAAAAACAGGUCAAAACCCGCAUCGGCCGUCCGAAUGACACGCAAACACACACAUAGCAUCGCGUAGGUAAUUGACACGCGUAAGAACUUACGGGACUCGAUUCCGACAUACGGAGACUGAGUUAUCGCCCAGUUUGCAAAACUCACCAACAAUUAGGCAAAAAGACGAAAAACAGGUCAAAAACCCGCAUCGGCCGUCCGAAUGACACGCAAACACACACAUAGCAUCGCGUAGGUAAUUGACACGCGUAAGAACUUACGGGACUCGAUUCCGACAUACGGAGACUGAGUUAUCGCCCAGUUUGCAAAACUCACCAACAAUUAGGCAAAAAGACGAAAAACAGGUCAAAACCCGCAUCGGCCGUCCGAAUGACACGCAAACACACACAUAGCAUCGCGUAGGUAAUUGACACGCGUAAGAACUUACGGGACUCGAUUCCGACAUACGGAGACUGAGUUAUCGCCCAGUUUGCAAAACUCGCCAACACUUGGGCAAAAAGCCGAAAAAGAGGUCAAAACCCGCAUCUGCCGUCCGAAUGACACGAAUACACAGAUAUAGCACCGUGCAGGUAAUAGACACACGUUAGAACUUAUGGGACUCGAUUCUGACAUACGGAGACCGAGUUAUCGCGGAGUUUGACAAACUCGCCAACACUUGGGCAAAAAGCCGAAAAAGAGGUCAAAACCAGCAUCUGCCGUCCGAAUGACACGAAUACAGACAUAUAGCACCGUGCAGGUAAUAGACACGCGUUAGAACUUACGGGACUCGAUUCUGACAUACAGAGACCGAGUUAUCGCCUAGUUUGCAAAACUCGCCAACAAUUAGGCAAAAAGACGAAAAACAGGUCAAAACCCGCAUCGGCCGUUCGAAUGACACGCAAACACACACAUAACACCGCGUAGGUAAUAGACAUGCAUUAGAACUUACGGGACUCGAUUCCGACAUACGGAGACUGAGUUAUCGCCCAGUUUGCAAAACUCGCCAACACUUAGGCUAAAAGUCGAAAAAGGGGUCAAAACUCGCAUCGGUGGUCCGAAUGACACGCAAACACACUAAUAGCACCGCGUAGGUAAUAGACACGCGUUAGAACUUACGGGACUCGAUUCCGACAUACGGAGACCGAGUUAUCGCCCAGUUUGCAAAACUCGCCAACACUUACGCAAAAAGCCAAAAAAGAGGUCAAAACUCGCAUCGGUAGUCCGAAUGACACGCAAACACACACAUAGCACCGCGUAGAUAAUUGAAACGCAUUAGAACUUAUGGGACUCGAUUCCGACAUAUGGAGACCGAGUUAUCGCCCAGUUUGCAAAACUCGCCAAGACUUAGGCAAAGAGCGGAAAAAGAGGUCAAAAACCCUUAUCGGCCGUUCGAAUGACACGCAAACACACACAUAACACCGUGCAGGUAAUAGACACGCGUUAGAACUUACAGGACUCAAUUCUGACAUACGGAGACCGAGUAAUUGCCCAGUUUGCAAAACUCGCCAACACUUAGGCAAAAAGCCGAAAAAGAGGUCAAAACUCGCAUCGGUCGUCUGAUGACACGCAAACACACACAUAACACCGCGUAGGUAAUAGUCACGCAUUAGAACUUACGGGACUCGAUUCCGACAUACGGAGACUGAUUUAUCGCCCAGUUUGCAAAAGUUGCCAACACUUAGGCAAAAGGACGAAAAAUAGGUCAAAACCCGCAUCGGCCGUCCAAAUAACACGCAAACACACACAUAGCACCGCGUAGGUAAUUGACACGCGUAAGAACUUACGGGACUCGAUUCCGACAUACGGAGACUGAGUUAUAGCCCAGUUUGUAAAACUCGCCAACAAUUAGGCAAAAAGCCAAAAAAGACGUCAAAACCCGCAUCGGCCGUCCGAAUGACACGCAAACACACACAUAGAACCGCGUAGAUAAUUGACACGCAUUAGAACUUACGGUACUCGAUUUCUACAUAUGGAGACCGAUUUAUCGCACAGUUUGCAAAACUCGCCAACACUUAAGCAAAAAGACGAAAAAGAGGUCAAAAACCCGCAUCGGCCGUCUGAAUGACACGCAAACACACACAUAGAACCGCGUAGAUAAUUGACACGCAUUAGAACUUAUGGUACUCGAUUUUGACAUAUGGAGACCGAGUUAUCGCCUAGUUUGUAAAACUCGCCAACACUUAAGCAAAAAGUCGAAAAAGGGGUAAAAACUCGCAUCAGUAGUCCGAAUGACACGCAAACACACUAAUAGCACCGCGUAGGUAAUAGACACGCGUUAGAACUUAUGGGACUCGAUUCCGACAUACGGAGACCGAGUUAUCGCGGAGUUUGCAAAACUCGCCAACACUUAGGCAAAAAGCCGAAAAAGAGGUCAAAACCCGCAUCUGCCGUCCGAAUGACACGAAUACACAGAUAUAGCACCGUGCAGGUAAUAGACACGCGUUAGAACCUACGGGACUCGAUUCUGACAUACGGAGACCGAGUUAUUGCACAGUUUGCAAAACUCGCCAACACUUAGGCAAAAAGCCGAAAAAGAGGUCAAAACUCGCAUCGGC
rnacentral:lncRNA from 1 species